rnacentral:rRNA from 1 species
ACGAACGCUGGCGGCGUGCCUCAUACAUGCAAGUUGAGCGCUGAAGGUUGGUACUUGUACCGACUGGAUGAGCAGCGAACGGGUGAGUAACGCGUGGGGAAUCUGCCUUUGAGCGGGGGACAACAUUUGGAAACGAAUGCUAAUACCGCAUAAAAACUUUAAACACAAGUUUUAAGUUUGAAAGAUGCAAUUGCAUCACUCAAAGAUGAUCCCGCGUUGUAUUAGCUAGUUGGUGAGGUAAAGGCUCACCAAGGCGAUGAUACAUAGCCGACCUGAGAGGGUGAUCGGCCACAUUGGGACUGAGACACGGCCCAAACUCCUACGGGAGGCAGCAGUAGGGAAUCUUCGGCAAUGGACGAAAGUCUGACCGAGCAACGCCGCGUGAGUGAAGAAGGUUUUCGGAUCGUAAAACUCUGUUGGUAGAGAAGAACGUUGGUGAGAGUGGAAAGCUCAUCAAGUGACGGUAACUACCCAGAAAGGGACGGCUAACUACGU